CUUGUACACACCGCCCGUCACACCAUGGGAGCGGGAUGUACCAGAAGUAGGUAGCCUAACCGCAAGGGGGGCGCUUACCACGGUGUGGUCAAUGACUGGGGUG
rnacentral:rRNA from 1 species